rnacentral:sRNA from 1 species
GGCAAAGGAGGAAGGGAGGCUCCUCCGAAGACAGCACAAGAGGGGGUGAAGCUGCAGCUGGUGCAGCCCUGGCCCAGAAUUGGGGGAGGGGGGCAGGCAGGCAGAGCCUUAGCUAGGGGAACGGGAGAACCGGGAUCUUCCCAGAGCCUACCACUGGGCCCCUGUGCUGGAGGCUGAGCCUGCACGUCAGUCCCGGCGGAGCCUAGGAGGCCUACCCCCACCCUUUCUACCUCCCCAGAGACGAAGGAGGAGCUGGAAGAACUCAUGUCCGACAUAAAGAAGACAGCAAACAAAGUUCGUUCCAAGUUAAAGAGCAUCGAGCAGUCCAUCGAGCAAGAGGAAGGCCUGAACCGCUCCUCCGCUGACCUGAGGAUCCGGAAGACACAGCACUCCACGCUGUCCAGAAAGUUUGUGGAGGUCAUGUCGGAGUACAACGCCACGCAGUCCGACUACCGCGAGCGCUGCAAGGGCCGCAUCCAAAGGCAACUGGAGAUCACCGGCAGGACCACGACCAGUGAGGAGCUGGAGGACAUGCUGGAGAGUGGGAACCCCGCCAUCUUUG